ACACUCCUACGGGAGGCAGCAGUGGGGAAUAUUGCACAAUGGGCGCAAGCCUGAUGCAGCCAUGCCGCGUGUAUGAAGAAGGCCUUCGGGUUGUAAAGUACUUUCAGCGGGGAGGAAGGCGAUAAGGUUAAUAACCUUGUUGAUUGACGUUACCCGCAGAAGAAGCACCGGCUAACUCCGUGCCAGCAGCCGCGGUAAUACGGAGGGUGCAAGCGUUAAUCGGAAUUACUGGGCGUAAAGCGCACGCAGGCGGUCUGUCAAGUCGGAUGUGAAAUCCCCGGGCUCAACCUGGGAACUGCAUUCGAAACUGGCAGGCUAGAGUCUUGUAGAGGGGGGUAGAAUUCCAGGUGUAGCGGUGAAAUGCGUAGAGAUCUGGAGGAAUACCGGUGGCGAAGGCGGCCCCCUGGACAAAGACUGACGCUCAGGUGCGAAAGCGUGGGGAGCAAACAGGAUUAGAAACCCCGGUAGUCCC
rnacentral:rRNA from 1 species